rnacentral:rRNA from 1 species
GACGAACGCUGGCGGCGUGCCUAACACAUGCAAGUCAACUUGACUGAAGGAGCAAUCUGACAGUAGAGUGGCGCAAGGGUGCGUAACGCGUAAGUAACUUGCCCAAGGUAAGGAAUAACGUCGAGAAAUCGGCGCUAAUACCUCAUAAUGCAGCGGAUCCGCAUGGAUAUGUUGUUAAAGGUUUACCGCCUUGGGAUAGGCUUGCGUCUGAUUAGCUAGUUGGUGUGGUAACGGCACACCAAGGCUACGAUCAGUAACUGGUCUGAGAGGAUGAUCAGUCACACUGGAACUGAGACACGGUCCAGACUCCUACGGGAGGCAGCAGUGAGGAAUAUUGGGCAAUGCUCGAAAGAGUGACCCAGCAACGCCGCGUGGAGGAUGAAGGUAUUCUAUAUCGUAAACUCCUGUGAGAGCAGACGAAAGACAGAUUAUUAAUCUGGAUGACUGUAUGCUCAGAGGAAGCCCCGGCUAACU